GCAAGAAAGAAGAAAAAUUAAAUUUUAGAGCAAUGAAUUUGGCAUAGUUUUCAGAGAACUAUAGAGUAACUGUCCUAUGGUGCACAGAAUUUGGUAAGGAGAUGCCUCAACUCUAGUUUUAUUUAUAACUGCAAUCAUCACUUAACAGUGAUAUAAAUUUUUGGAAUUUCUUUUUAAACCAUUGAUGUACAUUCCCUUUCUAUAGUUUUCCAUAGUGUGCAUUGUAUUCCAAGAUCUUCAUAUCUUACUGCUGAAAGUCAAGGGAUGAAUUUGCCCUGAAGGUUUUGCUUUCAUCCACAGAGGCAAAAAGGGAGUACCAGCUCUAUACCUGUAAGCCCAAAAUCUGCACAUCAUCUCUCACAAACAAUGGAAAUAGCAUGUGAGAAUAACAAGUUGAAGCCCUUUCCCAGCUUUACCAGGAAAGAGGAAUUGCAGGCUGGACUGCAACAGAAGACAAAUACAGCUGCUGAAGAAUGGAGUAACUGAUGUCUAAGAAAAGAGAUACAUGGUGGAAGGCCUAAAAGCAAUAUCUAGCACAGAGUCCAGCCUUGACCUUAAUGAUUUUUGACCAUCCUCACCUGAAUCAGCAUUUGCUCAACAAUCUCCAAUGGUGUAAUACGUUUUAAUUCUGGCUGAAUCAUUCAAAAAUCCCUUGAAUUUUGAAGAGUUAAGAAAAGUUGAGAGAGUUGAGAAAGUUUAAUCAGUGCAAAGAUUUAUUGCACUAAUGAUGUAGGUGAUCAACUGAUAUCCUAAUUGUCUAAAGUAUUCAUCUACCCAAGCACCACGUAAAAGUUUUUUCAUUCCCACAAUUGUUCAUUUUCUUCUAAUGCUGUCUUAGAGUAAUGAUUCAUUUGGAGGAGAUCCAAGACAAACAUUAUUUAAAUCACUUGAUCCGUUUACUAAGUUUUUGAAAAAUUAACAAGAGCAUUGUUUAAUACAUCAUUUUUUUAGUAGCAUGGGUUGAGUUAGGGAACUUUUGUAAAAGCCUGACUCCAUAAGAACUGAGAAAUAAAUUUUACAGUAGAAAGAGCA
rnacentral:lncRNA from 1 species